rnacentral:rRNA from 1 species
UACAGAGGGUGCAAGCGUUAAUCGGAAUUACUGGGCGUAAAGCGUGCGUAGACGGUUAUUUAAGUCGGGUGUGAAAGCCCCGGGCUCAACCUGGGAAUUGCAUUCGAGACUGAAUAGCUAGGGUGCGGAAGAGGGAAGCGGAAUUUCCGGUGUAGCGGUGAAAUGCGUAGAUAUCGGAAGGAACACCGGUGGCGAAGGCGGAUCUCUGGGCCAUUACUGACGCUGAGGAGCGAAAGCGUGGGGAGCGAACAGG